rnacentral:rRNA from 1 species
AGAGUUUGAUCCUGGCUCAGAUUGAACGCUGGCGGCAGGCCUAACACAUGCAAGUCGAACGGUAACAUUUCUAGCUUGCUAGAAGAUGACGAGUGGCGGACGGGUGAGUAAUGCUUGGGAACUUGCCUUUGCGAGGGGGAUAACAGUUGGAAACGACUGCUAAUACCGCAUAAUGUCUUCGGACCAAACGGGGCUUCGGCUCCGGCGCAAAGAGAGGCCCAAGUGAGAUUAGCUAGUUGGUAAGGUAACGGCUUACCAAGGCGACGAUCUCUAGCUGUUCUGAGAGGAAGAUCAGCCACACUGGGACUGAGACACGGCCCAGACUCCUACGGGAGGCAGCAGUGGGGAAUAUUGCACAAUGGGGGAGACCCUGAUGCAGCCAUGCCGCGUGUGUGAAGAAGGCCUUCGGGUUGUAAAGCACUUUCAGUUGUGAGGAAAAGUUAGUAGUUAAUACCUGCUAGCCGUGACGUUAACAACAGAAGAAGCACCGGCUAACUCCGUGCCAGCAGCCGCGGUAAUACGGAGGGUGCGAGCGUUAAUCGGAAUUACUGGGCGUAAAGCGCACGCAGGCGGUUUGUUAAGCUAGAUGUGAAAGCCCCGGGCUCAACCUGGGAUGGUCAUUUAGAACUGGCAGACUAGAGUCUUGGAGAGGGGAGUGGAAAUUCCAGGUGUA